rnacentral:misc_RNA from 1 species
CUCAGUGUCUGACUCUAGCCA